UACGAAGGGGGGCUAGCGUUGCUCGGAAUCACUGGGCGUAAAGCGCACGUAGGCGGAUUCUUAAGUCGGUGGUGAAAUCCUGGAGCUCAACUCCAGAACUGCCUUCGAUACUGAGAGUCUCGAGUCCGGGAGAGGUGAGUGGAACUGCGAGUGUAGAGGUGAAAUUCGUAGAUAUUCGCAAGAACACCAGUGGCGAAGGCGGCUCACUGGCCCGGUACUGACGCUGAGGUGCGAAAAGCGUGGGGAGCAAACAGG
rnacentral:rRNA from 1 species